UCUGGUUUGGCAGAUCAGUGCAAUUGACUUAGGAUCAAUAUAGAGGAUUAAUUCCUAACCAGUA
rnacentral:tRNA from 1 species